UCUAGAACUCCAGCUAUGGGUAAACUUCUGAGCAGUGUUUGGGCUGGAUUGCAAGAUAGAUUUUGACUUCUCUUUUGUGGCCAAACUUUGAAUUUGAAAAUGGCAGAUUUGGGUCUUCCAUUCUUCAUGAACGUUGUACACUACCAGAAAUUCGCUAAA
rfam:Populus trichocarpa isolate Nisqually-1 chromosome 1, whole genome shotgun sequence.